rnacentral:rRNA from 1 species
AGCGAACGUUUGCGGCGGGCCUAACACAUGCAAGUCGAACGCACUAGCAAUAGUGAGUGGCGCACGGGUGCGUAACACGUGGGUAAUCAACCCUUCAGCCUGGGAUAACGACUCGAAAGGGUCGCUAAUACCGGAUACGGCGCGAGAGGCUUCGGCUUCUCACGAGAAAGCCACGCAAGGGGCACUGAAGGACGAGCCUGCGGCCCAUCAGCUAGUUGGUGAGGUAAGAGCUCACCAAGGCUAAGACGGGUAGCUGGUCUGAGAGGAUGAUCAGCCACACUGGAACUGAGACACGGUCCAGACUCCUACGGGAGGCAGCAGUGGGGAUAUUGCGCAAUGGGCGAAAGCCUGACGCAGCCACGCCGCGUGAGCGAUGAAGGCC